rnacentral:rRNA from 1 species
CUACGGGCCGCAGCAGUGAGGAAUAUUGCGCAAUGGACGAAAGUCUGACGCAGCCAUGCCGCGUGCAGGAUGACGGCGCUAUGCGUUGUAAACUGCUUUUAUAGGCCAAGAAACCUUCGGACGUGUCCGAAGCUGACGGUAGCAUAUGAAUAAGCACCGGCUAACUGCGUGCCAGCAGCCGCGGUAAUACUGAGGGUGCAAGCGUUAUCCGGAUUUAUUGGGUUUAAAGGGUCCGUAGGCGGAUCAUUAAGUCAGUGGUGAAAGCCGGCAGCUCAACUGUCGAACUGCCAUUGAUACUGGUGAUCUUGAAUACGGUUGAAGUUGGCGGAAUAGGUCAUGUAGCGGUGAAAUGCUUAGAUAUGACCUAGAACACCGAUUGCGAAGGCAGCCAACUAAGCCGUUAUUGACGCUGAGGGACGAAAGCGUGGGGAGCGAACAGGAUUAGAUACCCUUGUAGUC